UACGUAGGCAGCGAGCGUUGUUCGGAGUUACUGGGCGUAAAGGGUGUGUAGGCGGUUGUUUAAGUUUGGUGUGAAAUCUCCCGGCUCAACUGGGAGGGUGCGCCGAAUACUGAAUGACUCGAGUGUGGGAGAGGUGAGUGGAAUUCCUGGUGUAGCGGUGAAAUGCGUAGAGAUCCGGAGGAACACCGACGGCGCAGGCAGCGUCCUGGCCGCUUGCUGACACUGAGGCACGAAAGCUGGGGGAGCAAACAGG
rnacentral:rRNA from 1 species